UACGGAGGGUGCAAGCGUUGUCCGGAAUCACUGGGCGUAAAGGGCGCGUAGGCGGCUCAUGAAGGCUGUGGUGAAAGUCCGGGGCUCAACCUCGGAUCGGCCGUGGCGACUCGUGGGCUGGAGCACUGUAGAGGCGGGUGGAAUUCCGGGUGUAGCGGUGGAAUGCGUAGAGAUCCGGAAGAACACCAGUGGCGAAGGCGGCCCGCUGGGCAGUGGCUGACGCUGAGGCGCGACGGCGUGGGGAGCAAACAGG
rnacentral:rRNA from 1 species